rnacentral:snRNA from 1 species
GAGUGUUACAGCUCUUUUAGAAUUUGUCUAGCAGGUUUUCUGACUUCUGUCGGAAAACCCCU